rnacentral:rRNA from 1 species
CCCCUAAAAAGCCAUCCCAGUUCGGAUCGCAGGCUGCAACCCGCCUGCGUGAAGUUGGAAUCGCUAGUAAUCGCGGAUCAGCAUGCCGCGGUGAAUACGUUCCCGGGCCUUGUACACACCGCCCGUCACACCAUGAGAGUCGGGAACACCCGAAGUCCGUAGCCUAACCGCAAGGGGGGAGCUGCCGAAGGCAGGCCUGGUGACUGGGGUGAAGUCGUAACAAGGUAAC